rnacentral:rRNA from 1 species
GACGAACGCUGGCGGCAUGCUUUACACAUGCAAGUCGAACGGUAACAGGCCUUCGGGUGCUGACGAGUGGCGAACGGGUGAGUAAUGCAUCGGAACGUACCCAGAGGUGGGGGAUAACGCAGCGAAAGCUGUGCUAAUACCGCAUGUGAUCUGAGGAUGAAAGCGGGGGACCGAGCAGCAAUGUUUGGCCUCGCGCCUUUGGAGCGGCCGAUGUCGGAUUAGCUAGUUGGUGGGGUAAAGGCCUACCAAGGCGACGAUCCGUAGCUGGUCUGAGAGGACGACCAGCCACACUGGGACUGAGACACGGCCCAGACUCCUACGGGAGGCAGCAGUGGGGAAUUUUGGACAAUGGGCGCAAGCCUGAUCCAGCAAUGCCGCGUGCGGGAAGAAGGCCUUCGGGUUGUAAACCGCUUUUGGCAGGAACGAAACGGUGUCCGCUAAUACCGGGCGCUAAUGACGGUACCUGCAGAAUAAGCACCGGCUAACUACGUG